rnacentral:rRNA from 1 species
UACGGAGGGUGCAAGCGUUAAUCGGAAUUACUGGGCGUAAAGCGUGCGCAGGCGGUUUGUUAAGUCUGUCGUGAAAUCCCCGGGCUCAACCUGGGAAUGGCGAUGGAUACUGGCGAGCUAGAGUGUGUCAGAGGAUGGUGGAAUUCCCGGUGUAGCGGUGAAAUGCGUAGAGAUCGGGAGGAACAUCAGUGGCGAAGGCGGCCUUCUGGACCAAUACUGACGCUCAUGCACGAAAGCGUGGGGAGCAAACAGG